AUUACCAGCCCAACAGAGGGUCCUCUCUGCUGAAUUUCAAGAACAGGAACUGUCUCAUCACCUGUCCUCCUGUUUCUCUGAGCCCCUGAGCUGCUGUAGCUGCUUAGGCUAAGUGUUGGAACUAGAAACACUCAUUUCUUCUCCCAGUUACUCAAAAAAGAAGGUUUCAUAUUCUUUUAGAAGCAAUAAAAAUACCUGUGUAUUUGUGGGAAACGAUGAAGUCUUUCUGCCUUUAUCACUUCAAUAGGGCAAAGAGAUGCUGCCAAGGCUAGGAGUUGGAAAUAUCCUGAGCUAACUCGACCCAGCCCUGAUUGUCUUAGACUUGAAAAUAGAUUUUAGGAUAUUCUCUUUAAAGAUCAGCAUAUAAGAUAACCAUACUGCUGGUUGGAAAACACAUUUAAACACUUUUGAGCAGAGAAAGUGAAUAACCCAUCAGACAGAAGGUAAUUAAACAGAUCGGGUUUCUGGCCUUUUUGUUUGCCUUGCAAGGUAUUUAUACAACAGUAUUUUUAAUCCAAAUGAAGCUGGAAGAGAGCUAAGGAAAGAACAAAAAGUGUUCUUUGGUCAUGGUUGGAGAAACUUUAUUUGGAUGACCAUAAAGACCUGUGACUGGACGUCAUUUACUCUGAACUAGUACCUGACCACAGUUGUUUGCUUUGCUGGACAAACUGGCCAAUGGAUAACUCCCUUAACCAAAGAAGUUACCCUGAAGAAAAGACUUUGUAUCUCCAGAGGUGAAAAAAAUCUGAUUAAUACAACAGAGUACUGCCUGACAGACCUGCAUGAGGCAGAAUACUCCCUCUUCCAGAGUCAUCUUCUGGUUUUUAUCUGAUGAAG
rnacentral:lncRNA from 1 species